rnacentral:rRNA from 1 species
AAACUACGAUUAGAUACCCUAUUAUUCUAAGUGUUAAAUAGAAAGCUAGAGUAGUAAGAGUUAUGUUCUUGAAACUCAAAGAAUUUGGCGGUGUUUUAGUCCUGUCAGAGGAACUUGUCCCAUGAUCGAUAAUCCCCGUUAACUUUACUUAAUUUGGUAAUUCAGCUUGUAUACCGCCGUCAUCAGGGUAUUUUUAGAAAAUAUGCUCGAGAUUUUGAAGUAAAAAGCAUGUCAGGUCAAGGUGCAGCCUAUGGUUAAGAGGAGAUGAGUUACAAUAUAAAAAUAUAAACGGAUUUAGAAUUGAAAUGUAUUUUAAUGAAGGUGGAUUUGGGUGUAAUAAAAUAGAGAUAUAUAUUAUGAUAGGAGGCUCUAAAACAUGCACA